rnacentral:rRNA from 1 species
UACGAAAGGAGCAGGUGUUAUUCAGAUUAACUGGGCGUAAAGCGCGUGUAGGCGGCUUGAUAAGUCUGCUCUGAAAGCCCGGGGCUCAACCCCGGGAGGCGGGUGGAUACUGUCAAGCUCGAGUCCGGAAGAGGAGUGUGGAAUUCCUGGUGUAGCGGUGAAAUGCGCAGAUAUCAGGAGGAACACCGGUGGCGAAGGCGGCGACCUGGGUAGAUACUGACGCUGAGGUGCGAAAGCGUGGGGAGCAAACAGG